UUGACGGGACCGCACGAAGCGGUGGAUGAUGUGGUUUAAUUCGAUGCAACGCGAAAACCUUACCCACCUUUGACAUGGCAGGAAUCCCGAAGAGAUUUGGGAGUGCUCGAAAGAGAACCUGCACACAGGUGCUGCAUGGCUGUCGCCAGCUCGUGCCGUGAGAUGUUGGGUUAAGUCCCGCAACGAGCGCAACCCUUGUCAUUAGUUGCUACAUUCAGUUGGGCACUCUAAUGAGACUGCCGGUGACAAACCGGAGGAAGGUGGGGAUGACGUCAAGUCCUCAUGGCCCUUAUAGGUGGGGCUACACACGUCAUACAAUGGAUGGUACAAAGGGUCGCCAACCCGCGAGGGGGAGCCAAUCCCAGAAAACCGAUCGUAGUCCGGAUUGCAGUCUGCAACUCGACUGCAUGAAGUCGGAAUCGCUAGUAAUCGCGGAUCAGCGUGUCGCGGUGAAUACGUUCCCGGGCCUU
rnacentral:rRNA from 1 species